CUAUCGGCCCUUUUCGGGGCCAAUAAAUGUGUACUAAAGAGUGAUUU
rfam:Aedes aegypti strain Liverpool supercont1.33 genomic scaffold, whole genome shotgun sequence.